rnacentral:tRNA from 1 species
GGGGUCGUAGCUCAGCUGGGAGAGCACCUGCCUUGCACGCAGGGGGUCAGGAGUUCGAUCCUCCUCGGCU